UAUUCGAUUGCUAAAAGGCAAAAUAAAGACCUGUCCAUUUAAGUGACAAAUCGUGUGAUAUCUUCACUUGAUGAUUACAUUCACAUUCCCUAUAAAUAAAAAAUAGAAAAUACCAUGAAAAGAAAAAAAUCGAGUGGUCCAUUUUUAAGCUCACCAAUUUCUUAGCACUUUCGCGGGCAUCUAACCCUUUCAAUCCAACAAAUCAAAAGCAACCACGUGGUCAAAAGCUUCUAAACUUUAUGCCACGUAGGAUAAUCAUCAAUCAUAAAAGUAGCUUCCCUCACACGAUUGUAUAAGUCAAAAAAAAAAAAAAAAAAGAGCCUUCCGGAAGAAGCCUUUUCCAUUUGACAGCCCACAAAAGCCUCCCUCUUUUUAUCUCCUUAUAUAGAAAGUACAAUACAGCGCCAUUAUUAUUAGAUUCUUAUAUAGAAAGUUUUGUAUUUCCUCAGUCCUCAUAGCCAAAGUAGAGAGAAAGAAGUGUCUAGUCUUCUGGUUGUAGAACGUUCGGUCGUUAACUUUUUGCUGCUCACAUUUCUGUUUAUAGUUGCGGCUAUUAUUAUAGUCAACGAGAUUGAAACUUCCUCUUUUUUAGAAAGCCCUAGCUACAUUAUUGUCACGAGUCUGUUUAUAGUUGUGACUGUUAUUAAAUAGUCAACGAGAUUAAAACUUCCUCGUUUCUCAUAAAGCCCAACUCUUCACCAGCACCGGUAGGUAUCUACCUACGUCGUUGUACGAAAUGGUGAAGAGUGGUAAUUAUGAAGUGGUGGAAGAGGAAGGAUGCAAGACACCAAGGCAUGAUAAAUGUAGAAUUAUGGUGAAUUCAUUGUGCCCACCACCAGCGCCAAGAAAGAAAAGAAUUUAUGUGAAACAGCAGAGUUCUCCACCUAAGGAAGGGUAUUUUCAGCCACCUGAUCUUGAGAUUUUAUUUGCUAUUGUGCCAAGGAGGGAGACUUAUGUUUGAAUAUUAUUGCUUUUUAAUCAAAAAGAAAAGGAAA